UCCUUCCUAUUCGGUACCCCAUUGUCUGUACGUAUUGGUAUAGUCUCCGAAUACCCCCGGUAUAGGUAUCCCACAGCAGCCCCCGAAGUCGUCAUAGCAGCGAUAGUCAUCCGUGCGGAUUAUUGAUCCUCAGGCGUUUUCCGGCACUAUAUGCUUGACACUAUCCGAGUGCUUUUCAGCCGUUCCCCGAGUGCUUCCCGAGUGAUCCCGAGUACUCUGUGAUGAUUGUAGAGGCUGUGGAAGGCUCUGAAUGGAAGAAGACAUUAGGUGCAUCGAAUAGGUGUACCCCCAACUCUAUGCUUAAAUGCAUAACAAUUAAACAUAGAGUCAUCUAUGGACUGUUACCUAGCAGGUUUUUUUUUGACUCGAGCCGCACUGCUCCAAAUGCUUCUGGGCCCGAGUGAUUUGGAAAUGAUUUUGUGUUGUGUUUCCCUAGACAUACAGCCUUCAGCUAUGUUCUGCCCAUGGGAUAGGUUGCGCCGGCUGGCAUAACCGUUAGAGCCGAGUAGUUAGUACCGAGUAUAUUCGGCUUUACUCAAAGUUUAGGCAUAGGCUAAGAAGCGCAGUUAAGUGCCAUGGGCGAUAUCGACUGACGCCUGCCCGAGUGCGAUCAUAGGCCCAAAACAUAGGCGUACCGUCGAUUCCCGAUUUGAAGGAAAUUACGAAUUUCAUAUUACCAUGACAAAACUCGCAAUGUUCCUUAAAAAUGGCAUGGUAUCCGUAAUGCCAGCACCGAAAAUUUCGGUCCGCCCUGCCUGCAUGGGAACAUAACAAUACUUUUGCCCAGUAACGGAAUUUUCUAGCCGUUAGGCCCAGUGGCAGCCCAUUUAAGCCUCCCGUUACCCUGUCUAUUCAUCUUCUUCUUCGCCGCGCUGGUUACUGUAGCCCCAAUUUGCUCCAGUGACCCGUGCUCACCGAAACCCUAGCCUCCACACCCAGACCUCCAGCCUCUUCUCCGCUCACCACACUCAUGCUUCCCUUCAAUCCUACCGAAGAGAGCCCCAAAUGGCUUCCCCAGCGGAUUCAGGGAAGACGCUGCCGCUGCACGCAUGGCAGCCCUCCAUAAUCUGAGACCAGAACCUCUCUGACCUCUCCGGAGCUGGCUUGAUCCAGAGCAAGGAGCUAGCCGGGUACCCCAGCGCUUACGGUGAGGAAUUCCCUGCCCCUAACUCACGGGAAGUAGUUGUAUCCGAACCAUUCUUUGAGUGGGGUUCGAACCACUCACCCCAUUUGGAUUUAGUGUGCAAAGGGCCCAGGCCCAGUGAACGAAAGAGGUUUACAGUCCCACGCCCACUGCCCUGCCCGAACCUUUUAAUUGCUCUAUUUUUAUAUGAUUUUUUGAGCAACUAGCACGAAAGCCGUUGCGCAUUAGCGCAUUCUCCACCACACAUUUUUAUACGAUUUUCUGAAGUGUGAAGUGCUCAGAAUAAUCCAGGUCAUUCGACCCCCGGAUGUAGCCACUAACGUGGUUCACAGGGUUACCAAAGGGACGCUUGGCUUGAAGAGUUUUAUGAGCAUAGUCAUCGAACUUCACUAUACUAUUAGGUUUGUCAUGACAUCUUCCCUCUAACUGAGUUAUUUUUAAGAAUGAAUCAGGGUUUUUGCGCUCCUUGGUAUCAGGCCUAUAAGCGCUUUAUAGAUAAGUGUCAACCUCAUAUUGCUACCAAUUUGGCUUGCUAGCGAGGACUUGCAAUUUAUGCUUUUAAAGAAAAUGGAUUUACAGCUAAGGUUGAGUCCACCGGGUUGGUUUGAUGCAAAGCAC
rnacentral:lncRNA from 1 species